rnacentral:rRNA from 1 species
UUGGAGGGCAAGUCUGGUGCCAGCAGCCGCGGUAAUUCCAGCUCCAAUAGCGUAUAUUAAAGUUGUUGCAGCUAAAAAGCUCGUAGUUGAAUUUCGGAGUUUGUCGGUUGGUCGGGCUUCACUGUCCGCACUGACCUGAUGGACUCCUACCUUCUGAAUAACCAGCAUGCCAUUAAUUUAGUGCGUUGGGGAAGCAGAGCUAUUACCUUGAAAAAAUUAGAGUGCUUAAAGCAGGCUUGUGCUUGAAUAGAUUAGCAUGGAAUAAUAAGAUAGGACGGCAUGGUUCUAUUUUGUUGGUUUCUAGGAUCACCGUAAUGAUUAAUAGGGAUAGUUGGGGGCAUUAGUAUUCAAUUGUCAGAGGUGAAAUUCUUGGAUUUAUUGAAGACUAACUUCUGCGAAAGCAUUUGCCAAGGAUGUUUUCAUUAAUCAAGAACGAAAGUUAGGGGAUCGAAGACGAUCAGAUACCGUCGUAGUCUUAACCAUAAACUAUGCCGACUAGGGAUCGGAUGAUGUUAAUUUUUUAAUGACUCGUUCGGCGCCUUACGGGAAAC